UUGGGUUGGUCAAAAAGUUUGUUUGGGUUUUUUCAUACUAUCUUAUGGAAAAAGAUAAAUGAACUUUUUGACCAACCCA
rnacentral:miRNA from 1 species